AUGGCUCAGUGAGGCUUCCGGACUGGCCCAGAGAGGUCGGCAACGACCACUCAGGGCCGGAAAGCUAUCCAAACUCGGUCAUUUAGAGGAAGUAAAAGUCGUAACAAGGUCUCCGUUGGUGAACCAGCGGAGGGAUCAUU
rnacentral:rRNA from 1 species